GACGAGCGCUGGCGGCGUGCUUAACACAUGCAAGUCGAACGGAAAGGCCCUGCUUUUGUGGGGUGCUCGAGUGGCGAACGGGUGAGUAACACGUGAGUAACCUGCCCUUGACUUUGGGAUAACUUCAGGAAACUGGGGCUAAUACCGGAUAGGAGCUCCUGCUGCAUGGUGGGGGUUGGAAAGUUUCGGCGGUUGGGGAUGGACUCGCGGCUUAUCAGCUUGUUGGUGGGGUAGUGGCUUACCAAGGCUUUGACGGGUAGCCGGCCUGAGAGGGUGACCAGCCACAUUGGGACUGAGAUACGGCCCAGACUCCUACGGGAGGCAGCAGUGGGGAAUAUUGCACAAUGGGCGGAAGCCUGAUGCAGCAACGCCGCGUGCGGGAUGACGGCCUUCGGGUUGUAAACCGCUUUCGCCUGUGACGAAGCGUGAGUGACGGUAAUGGGUAAAGAAGCACCGGCUAACUACGUG
rnacentral:rRNA from 1 species